GGCGAACGCUGGCGGCGUGCCUAAUACAUGCAAGUAGAACGCUGAAGAGAGGAGCUUGCUCUUCUUGGAUGAGUUGCGAACGGGUGAGUAACGCGUAGGUAACCUGCCUUGUAGCGGGGGAUAACUAUUGGAAACGAUAGCUAAUACCGCAUAACAAUGGAUGACACAUGUCAUUUAUUUGAAAGGGGCAAUUGCUCCACUACAAGAUGGACCUGCGUUGUAUUAGCUAGUAGGUGAGGUAACGGCUCACCUAGGCGACGAUACAUAGCCGACCUGAGAGGGUGAUCGGCCACACUGGGACUGAGACACGGCCCAGACUCCUACGGGAGGCAGCAGUAGGGAAUCUUCGGCAAUGGGGGCAACCCUGACCGAGCAACGCCGCGUGAGUGAAGAAGGUUUUCGGAUCGUAAAGCUCUGUUGUAAGUCAAGAACGAGUGUGAGAGUGGAAAGUUCACACUGUGACGGUAGCUUACCAGAAAGAGACGGCUAACUACGUG
rnacentral:rRNA from 1 species